GCAAAAUCUAGGUGCUGCAAGAAAAGUCACAGCCUUGGGGUUUCAGUGAAGAGACAGCCCAAAUGCUCUUGAAGUAGUCAGAAAAGUCUACAGGUGUGACUCCCUUAUGCCGCUCUCUCCUGCCAUUUGGGCAACAGCCAACUUCCGAGGCCAACCUUGUUUCUGGAGAAGCAUUCUUCCCACAUGGGAAAGGCAAGGAUGGUGCUGAGCCUGUCUGCCUCUGUGUUCCCUGGACAACUCCAUUCCAGUGCAAGAUUCUCAUGGUUGAAUUCAUUGUCUCCCAAUUAUGAGCACCAUCUGCAAGAGUCCAC
rnacentral:lncRNA from 1 species